rnacentral:rRNA from 15 species
GGGUGCGAUAAUGCCAGCACUAAAGCACCGGAUCCCAUCAGAAUUCCGAAGUUAAGCGAACUUUAGAGAGAUUAGUACUAGGAUGGGUGACCCCCUGGGAAGUCCUCGUGUUGCACUCC